rnacentral:sRNA from 1 species
GCUUUCCGGAAUCCACAAGGAUGAGAACCUCCGGGGGCAAGAGGUUCGACUCGAGCGGAGCGAGAGAACGUUGCGUCAGCAACGGCCCGCAGGGCGAGCCACGAAGUGGCGAGUAAUCCUCUAUCACCGACCA